rnacentral:rRNA from 1 species
CCUACGGGAGGCAGCAGUGGGGAAUAUUGGGCAAUGGGCGCAAGCCUGACCCAGCAACGCCGCGUGAAGGAAGAAGGCUUUCGGGUUGUAAACUUCUUUUCUCAGGGACGAAGAAAGUGACGGUACCUGAGGAAUAAGCCACGGCUAACUACGUGCCAGAAGCCGCGGUAAUACGUAGGUGGCAAGCGUUAUCCGGAUUUACUGGGUGUAAAGGGCGUGUAGGCGGGGAAGCAAGUCAGAUGUGAAAACCACGGGCUCAACCUGUGGCCUGCAUUUGAAACUGUUUUUCUUGAGUACUGGGGAGGCAGACGGAAUGCCUAGUGUAGCGGUGAAAUGCGUAGAUAUUAGGAGGAACACCAGUGGCGAAGGCGGUCUGCUGGACAGCAACUGACGCUGAGGCGCGAAAGCGUGGGGAGCAAACAGGAUUAGAUACCCCUGUAGUC